rnacentral:rRNA from 1 species
GACGAACGCUGGCGGCGUGCUUAACACAUGCAAGUCGAACGAUGACGACCGAGCUUGCUCGGUCUGAUUAGUGGCGAACGGGUGAGUAACACGUGAGCAACCUGCCCUUCACUCUGGGAUAACCUCGGGAAAUCGGGGCUAAUACCGGAUAUGAGCUCCUGUCGCAUGGCGGGGGUUGGAAAGUUUUUCGGUGUAGGAUGGGCUCGCGGCCUAUCAGUUUGUUGGUGGGGUAGUGGCUCACCAAGGCGUUGACGGGUAGCCGGCCUGAGAGGGCGACCGGCCACACUGGGACUGAGAAACGGCCCAGACUCCUACGGGAGGCAGCAGUGGGGAAUAUUGCACAAUGGGCGAAAGCCUGAUGCAGCGACGCCGCGUGAGGGAUGACGGCCUUCGGGUUGUAAACCUCUUUCAGCAGGGAAGAAGCGAAAGUGACGGUACCUGCAGAAGAAGCGCCGGCUAACUACGUG